rnacentral:rRNA from 1 species
AACGAACGUUAGCGGCGCGCUUAACACAUGCAAGUCGCACGAGAAAGGGCUUCGGCCCCGGUACAGUGGCGCACGGGUGAGUAACACGUGGAUAAUCUUCCCUUGGGCGGGGGAUAACCUUCCGAAAGGAGGGCUAAUACCGCAUAAGACCACGCCUUCGCAAGGAGGAGGGGUAAAAGCAGGCCUCUGCACGCAAGCUUGCACCUAAGGAUGAGUCCGCGGCCCAUCAGCUAGUUGGUAGGGUAAUGGCCUACCAAGGCGAAGACGGGUAGCUGGU